AUAAGCAGCAUCAGUCAUUAUGACUGCUUUUUGGAAGAAGUUGUUUCUUUUUUCAAACUGAAGCCACACGCAAAAGUCUCCUUCUCUCCGUCGCUGUCACUGUUUGUGUCUGUUUAUUCUGUCAGCCUCUUCGCAUGAAUUUGAAGCAAAACUAAAUCUUCUUAGUGAACCCAAAACAUUUUUGCGCCAUGACUAUCCUCCACACCUCACACUGUACCUCACAUCAUCUGAUAUUGUGAAGCAGCAGCUAAAAUGUAAAAACCUAUAUUUGAUGUUUAGAAAGGGUCAACUGAGUCGAUGUGAAAGAGUUGCGUGUCUUGGAAACAUGUUUAGAGCUUAUUGAGGAGGGUGUGCGCUCUCGGGCUUUUCUUCCAAAUUGCGUUUAAACGCCAUGGACUAUUGUACUGAAGUCUUUAGUGGAUGUAGUACUGAGGUUUGCAAUUAUAAGCAGCAGCUGCAACAUUGCUGACUAUAGUAUUUACAGUAGCACGAGUAGUCUAUACCCAUGAUUUGUUGUUUACUCCUGACUUGUUGACUAUUCCUGAUAACGAUUUAACUGACUUCGUCAAAUAAGGGGAACCAGAUUUUGAGGUACGGUAGCCACUUGACGACGAACCAUAAAACAUUCAAGGUAGGAUGAUACUUAACCCGCACUCGUUAAAGGGAAAGGACAGAGAUGAACCCUUAACACUGCGGCAAACAGGGUACAGCCACUGCAAUUUGCCUGCUAUUGUACACACAAACAUGGGUGCUACGUCACCUGGUAGACUCAAAAACCUGGGUGCUACGUCACUUGCUAUUUAUACUCAAAAACUGGUGCUACGUCACCAGCUUCACAGUCCCCCUCCCCCUCGCAUACGCGGCCUCUGUAGAGGAUCGUGGAGGGAAUAAAGCAUGACCUUCAAGAAACCAAAUCAAUUAUUAAAUAUACAGAAAUACACAUAAAACAUCUCCGUUCCUCGUCGGACUAUACUAUUUUACACGUACGAAAUUCGGCACCAAAAUAUUUGCCGAUGAACCCUUUUCUUAUGUUGAUCCCAAACCAUGGAACUGACCAUUCUCAGCUCGCACCACACUGUGUUUCUCAGCGCCAUUCACUCAGCCUGCUUCAGUUUCAAGACGGUGCUGAAACACGUCUUGUAUUAAUUCCAUCCUUGCUGUCCACGGUUAAGAUGCGUGUGUGUAGGUGUGUCGUGGGCGAAUACUGUUAUUGUUUACCACCCUAUUCGCUGUCUAUUCUGAUAUUUAUGGCCUGACAAUGUGAAGUGCGGAAAUCCAGACCUUGCGACCCUACAGCCUCAUGCAGCCAAACUUAAUCCUCGUCACAGCAACCUCCUGUCUACAAUCGCCGACCUACUUGUGUACAAUUGUUAUCCACUUCCCACCGGAAGGUAGCGGUACAGAGUGUCCGAUGUUGUGUAUGACACAGACUGUGGGUGGUGCUGCGUGUCUGUGUAGACCGCCUGCUGCUGCCCCGGACUUCAAACAUCAUUUCUGAGAAAGCAGAGGAUGACUCAUGAUGGCUGCCGCCAGGAACUCGCUGCCUGCAGCAGGCUACACAAGUCUGUGGCCGUCUGUCAGGGAGAAGAUGCAAUGACUGCCUCAUUCCUGUGCUGCUGACACGGAGUAAAACACACAAACCACAGAAUAUCACGAAGCUGCUGGAGCCGGUCACUGUGGGAGCAGGGUACAGACUUGGUUCAGGCGACACAACUGUCAAUCAUGUCUGAUCAUCCGCCGCCUGCUCCACCAGAGGCCCAGACAUUCUGGCUCCAAUGGGUGAGGCCGCAUACCCUGAUCUCGACUCACGCGCCUACUUCCUGCCUCCUGUCUACUUCAACCGCGUGCCGAUGACCAUAGAGCUGAUUGCUGGUCAGGAUGUUCUUGUCUCCAGUCAGCACCUGGCAGUCCAACACCAGAUUCCUCUCCUGCUCCCCCAGCAGCAGGUCCUCAGCCAGCCCACGUCCAGGACAGUGAUGUCAGAAGUGAUGCAGCCAUGCAGCGGGUGAUAGCCUGUCUUCAACACUUGUCUGAACAAGAACAAAGAAGUGUUGGUUGGACUGAGUCAGCUCAAGUUCGAACAGUACCUGGGGGAACCUUCUUACGUUGUGGAGGUCGUCCAGUUCCCUCUACCCGCCAACAUUUCUGCAGCUCUACCUCGGGAGUGGAAGAGGGGAGACUUCGAUGUGCUUCUUAUUCACCGACAAUUAUGGUUUGAUAGUCUUUGAGGUGAAGGCUUUAGGUGACAAUAUAAAGGCAGUGAAUAUGUCGCAGGAGGAUGUAGAUUGUAAUAUCACAAAAAAACUGACAGAAGCUGGGCAGCUGGACAAGGCGGAGGCCAUGUUGUCUCACCUGGUGUCUGACCUCGCCCCCGGACUGCGCAUCACUAAGGUCAUCGCGCUGCCUAACCUCACAGUUCACCAGGUACAACAAGCUGUGUCUGGCAACACCCAGCUGACUGAGGACUGUGUCGGUGUUUGGGAACAUCAGACCCCGCUGACAUCCCUGGUGUAUCUGUGCUGUGAUCAGUUGUCUGACCCCAAGACCCCGUGUGACGUCAGUAGUCACGUGCUACUCGGGAACUGGGACACUGGUGGCAGCGACGUGUGGCUGGGGCUGGACCUGAUCCCCACAUGACUGAUGUGGUCUACAAAACCCUGGUAUCCAGGUUCUGCGGUCCGGCGACAUCAGUGACUGUGCCAUGCACAUGUCCUCCACGUGUGACUGUCAAGACCCUGGGUCAGGCCGUGUGGUGGACAGGAGAGUGCUAUACUGCUGUAAUCACACUCUUCCCGGAGCAAGUUCACCUGCUACACACGGCGCCUCCCAGACUCUAUCUGACUGGACCACCCGGUACAGGUAAAACUGUGGUGCUGCUGCUGAUGGGUGAACUAUGGCUACAGUCUGGCAAAGACGUGUACAUUGUGAGUACUUGUAGUGAUAGUCGUGCCGUGUGUAGCAUGCUGUACCAGCGGCUUCUGCAGAUAAUACAAUGGCAGGCAACAGGAGUUACACAAAAUCAGCUUUAUCUCCGGCACUACCUCUUUGACAAAAGUGAAACCGUGGACAAGGACGUGGACGAGGUCGUGGACGAAGCUGUGGACGACUUGUCUCAGGCGGCGAAGGGAGACACGCUGUACGUCAUCGCUGAUGAAGCGGCAAGGCCAUACUACUUUCAGCCUUUCUGUGACAAGCUGCGGACACGAGUUCCUUCUCUCCAUCUGUGGGCGGCAAGUUGUUUUCAUGACUUCGCACCCGCCGGCUGGCAAGUGGAAUAUUUAACCAGACCCCUCCGCUCUCCACCGACCGUCGUCAGGGAAGUCGAACAAGACAAGAGGAUGACUGCAGUCGAACCUCGUGUCAAGGCGUACAGUGAGCGAGGUGUGCCCGACCACACAGACGGCCCGCCAGUCACACGGCUGUAUCACGGAGAAUGCAAAGGUGUCUCAGAUCCUUGUCCAGAGAACUGUGUCGGGUGUGGUCAUCAGGUGGCCAAAGUACUACGCGGUCUCCGUGGUCGUGUUCAGGAUGACCCCACUACCACACCCACCACCAGCGACAGACCAUCGCCUUGCCUGCAGUGGAGAGACGUGCUGGUGUUGGUGUGGCUUGGACAGCCCACUGACAACUCGGGUUUUGUGAAGGGCCUGAGUGAAGCGGGUAUCCCAGUGUGGGUGAUGAAGGAUGAGGACAUCGAGGACGUGGCUACGGCCCGCAGUGACGUGGUGUGGGUGGCGCGUGAAAACCACGUGCGGGGCCUGGAGAGAAAAGUCGUCGUCUGUCUGGAGAGUGUCACGGAUAACUCGUCUCGACUUCACCCCAUGUCCCGCUGUACGUCACAGCUGGUGAUUGUCUCCGCCUGAACAGCAAUCACAAUCACAAUCAGACGUCUUCUAACUGUCACUGUACUCAAAUAUGACUGUGACCAACAUUGUGUGUAUGUGUGUGUGUGACUGUGUGUGAGUGAGUGAGUGUGAGUGUGUGAUAUUAAUCAUACGUUCUGGCUGGUAUUUGUGUUUCCAUGUCACAUUGGCUCUGUCACUACAAUAAUGUACAUAACCUUACUGCAUGUAAGAGUAGAGUCAUGUUAUGAGUAUCAUUUCUCUAGCUUUGUGUUUGGUGGACACAAAGUAUCACUGCCAGUGCCUGGAUUCUCUCCCUUUUCAUACUCCCCUCCUCCUCCGUUUAUCCACGUGAGCAGUGGAUGGCGCCACUUAGCUUGAAGGGGAUGGGGGAAUGUCCAACUUCCAUGUGUGUGUGUGUCAGAUGAAAAUCAGUGGCAUCUUGUUAUUUAGGUAGAAAGCAGGUCCCGAUGAGGGUCUGUACCCACGAUUCCGAACAGAACAACAGGUACCCAGUUCAGCUCCACACCUUUAUAGACUGUUCCUUUGAAAAAAGACUGCUUGUCCUAAAGACUCUAGUUCUGGGGGAUGGCAGCUGUCACGUACAAACACACCUACCUAUGUACACACCUGUGUGUAGGAGAGAGAAGACUUUAGUUCGGGGGGAGGGCAGCUCUCGCAGACACAGACUCCAUACCCUCCCCUCUUACAGCUGUUUAAGCUGGACGAAAUAAUUGAAAUCAAAGUUUUACAUUUGUUGUAAAGGCUGCUGAUGUUCGUGUGUUGUGUGUCUAAGGUAUUUACAUUAGUGCUAGGUAAGGUAGGUAUCUAUACUAGUGCUAGGUCAGUUAGGUAUUUACACUAGUGCUAGGUAAGGUAGGUAUCUAUACUAGUGCUAGGUAAGGUAGGUAUUUACACGAGUGCUAGGUAAGGUAGGUAUUUACACUAGUGCUACAGUGCUAUUAUCAUAGAGCUUAUCAGUGAUUUUUAUUCUUUCAAUAGUAUAAAUAAACAUUGAAUUUCUAAACCA
rnacentral:misc_RNA from 1 species